GUCCAACCAGGGCAACACUGGCUCAUUACUGGGUGCAUCUACAUGGGCAUUAAUGUGCCAUAGUCACAGCGCAUUAAAUUUAGGACCUGCAAUAACAGGGAAUAACUC